AAUCCAGUUAAAUCCAAGCCCAGAAAAUACAAGAUGUGGGAAAUGGGAUCCAUUUGAAAUGUGUUCGUAAAGCUGGAUGAUAUGAUGACAAGAGAUCCUUCUUGUCUAGGGACGAAUUUUCCAACAUCCCACACCGUCCUCAGCCUCAGAUCUACUUCAUUCUAUUCUAUUUCCUGUUCCUGCACCUCUAAGCUUCGUUAAUGGCGAAACUGGAGUCGCUUGACGGGGUAGCCAAAGAUAACAAUGUGUCUACAAAGAAGCAGAAGAGAAAUCAUGGGUCUACUUCAUUUUUCGUCUUCGUGGACUACCUUUUCCUAUUCAUCUUUUUUGGGUUCCUCUGCUUCAUCCUCUUCAAGAUGUUCGGUGUCUGAGAUUCCCCAAAUACACAGAGUUUCACAUUCCAUUUUGAAGAUUAGGUUCAUUACUAGACCUCUGCCCCAUUAGGACACUAACUCAUCAAAGCCAGCUACUUAUUUCUCCCUAGAUACUUGUAUAUUCGUAAUUCCGUAAAAUCGGACUGGAUAGAAGAACCAUUCAAGUGGCAGAUGAACACUGCCGACUUGUUCUGAUGAUUAUUGCUAGAUGAACUCAAGGAUAGGAUGUUUCUUUAACACCACCAAUAUUGGCAGGGAUUGGCACCUCAUAUCCAGGAUUUGGAAUGAAAUUAUCAUCCCCACCUGGAAUAUAUUGACGUUUUGGAGCUGGGUUACUGCCAUAUGAACUCGAAUGCCCUCCUCCAUGGCUGCCUUUGUCGUAUGGUGACAAUGUGAUGCGUCCAAUGCCAGGAAUUAGCACACUGACCCUAUCAUAUCCAAUCAGCCAUUAAGGCUGUUUCUUAUCAUCAUCACUGCUCGACCUUUCAGGAAAAUCACGUGCUGCAACUGCUUCUCCAGUCAUUGCGAGGAUCACAAGGAAGAUAGGGAACAGAGAAGGUGUGAUUCUGUGAGCCAUUUAUCUGAUAUUGUGAGUAAUGCCAGAGAAGUUUUGUUUGGUGAUGAAGAAACAAGAAGAAUAGAGGUGUUCUUAUAGAUACGAGGAAGAUGAACUGAGAAGGAGAGUGGUAGAUGAAGUUUUGGCGGUGAGUUAAAACGAGAUAGUUGCUCCAUUUAUUGGAUUUAGAAUGGUAGGUUGAAAAAUAUAACUGGUAAAGUAUGAACGGAUGGAGAGAACAAAUGGAAGAAAGGGUUGGAAUCUUUUCAUAUGAACAAUAACUUGAAGUAAUGAAACAAGGUGUCUGGCAUUCCUUGUAAACACUUAAAACCAGGCUACAAAGAGUUUGGUAACUCCUCAACAGCUAUUACGGCUUAUAAAUGUAAUGAGACGUUUCGUCAGAAUGUUAAAAACAUGAAGCAACUUUCUGUUAAUGGAUGAAGGAUAAGUCCCUGUAAAACAGACAGUUCACUAUAUCGAAGUGUAAUUAAAACAGUAUUGAGGAUAAACAAAAUUGUUCAAAAUAUAGCAAGCUAUACUUCAAAAAUGAGUUUUA